rnacentral:rRNA from 1 species
GGGGAGGCAGCAGUGGGGAAUAUUGCGCAAUGGGCGAAAGCCUGACGCAGCGACGCCGCGUGUGGGAUGACGGCCUUCGGGUUGUAAACCACUGUCGGGAGGGACGAAUGCGCCGCAAGGCGAGUGACGGUACCUCCAAAGGAAGCACCGGCUAACUCCGUGCCAGCAGCCGCGGUAAUACGGAGGGUGCGAGCGUUGUCCGGAAUCACUGGGCGUAAAGGGCGCGUAGGCGGCCUGAUAAGUAGGGGGUGAAAUCCUGCGGCUUAACCGCAGGGCUGCCUUCUAAACUGUCGGGCUAGAGCACGGUAGAGGCAGAUGGAAUUCCCGGUGUAGCGGUGGAAUGCGUAGAGAUCGGGAAGAACAUCAGUGGCGAAGGCGGUCUGCUGGGCCGUUGCUGACGCUGAGGCGCGACAGCGUGGGGAGCAAACAGGAUUAGAUACCCCGGU